rnacentral:rRNA from 1 species
ACAGCAGCCGCCACGGUAAUACGAGGGGGGCAAGCGUUGUUCGGAAUUAUUGGGCGUAAAGGGCGCGUAGGCGGUUUGACAAGUCUGAUGUGAAAUCUCUGGGCUCAACCCAGAGUCUGCAUCGGAAACUGUCGAGCUUGAGUAUGGGAGAGGUGAGUGGAAUUUCCGGUGUAGCGGUGAAAUGCGUAGAUAUCGGAAGGAACACCUGUAGCGAAAGCGGCUCACUGGACCAUUACUGACGCUGAGGCGCGAAAGCUAGGGGAGCAAACAGGAUUAGAUACCCGGGUAGUCCCUGUCUCUUAUAC